rnacentral:rRNA from 1 species
GACGAACGCUGGCGGCGUGCUUAACACAUGCAAGUCGUACGGUAAGGCCCUUUCGAGGGUACACGAGUGGCGAACGGGUGAGUAACACGUGAGUAACCUGCCCACAACUUUGGGAUAACGCUAGGAAACUGGUGCUAAUACUGGAUAUGUGCUCCUGCUGCAUGGUGGGGGUUGGAAAGCUCCGGCGGUUGUGGAUGGACUCGCGGCCUAUCAGCUUGUUGGUGGGGUAGUGGCCUACCAAGGCGGCGACGGGUAGCCGGCCUGAGAGGGUGACCGGCCACAUUGGGACUGAGAUACGGCCCAGACUCCUACGGGAGGCAGCAGUGGGGAAUAUUGCACAAUGGGCGCAAGCCUGAUGCAGCAACGCCGCGUGCGGGAUGACGGCCUUCGGGUUGUAAACCGCUUUCAGCAGGGACGAAGCUUUUUGUGACGGUACCUGCAGAAGAAGCACCGGCUAACUACGUG